UUUUUUUUUUUUUUUUUUUUUUUUUUUUUUUUUUUUUUUUUUUUUUCA
rnacentral:ribozyme from 13 species